GGCAGGCUGUCCUGGCUCACAUCGCUGUACGGCAGCAGCGAGUGCUCGCUCUGGGUCUGCUCGCAGAUUGAGGUCAGGGCCAGGGUCAGCUCUCGGACAGAGGCUGAGGGCUCUUCCGGCACUCGGUUAGGUGACGCUCGCGCUUCUUGCGCUCCUGUGACAUGGUCUCCUCCAGACACUGCAGCUCGUUCUGGAGGGGGGCAGGGGAACAGCAGGACCAGCUGCUCCUCCAGCUCGUGUUCCGCCUUCACCACCUCAGCUUCCAUGACGUCCACCCGGUUCUUCAAGUGACGGUUCUCUUCCUGGGACACGGGAAAUGGGGCAGGCCUGUGACCGCUGUCCCUACCAGUGUGGCCCUCCCCCUUGCCUUUGCCCCCACCCCAAGCCCUCCUGGCCCCUACCUGUAGCUGGGCCUUGAGCUGCAGGUGGUACUCCUGCUGGAGCUCCGCCAGCCGCUUCUGCCGCAAGCCCACCUGAUAGUGCAGAGCGUUUAGCUGCUUCACCUUCUUACUCAGCUGGUGGUCCAGGUAGGGCCACUCCAACUUCCAUUCCUCAGUCACUGCCUGGACCACUUUCUCAUCUCCCUGCAAGGAGAGGAGCCCAGUCACCACGGAUCCAGGCCACCUUUGCUUGAAGCAGCACACUCUCCUGGGGAUGCUGCCCAA